rnacentral:rRNA from 1 species
CGGGGCGUAAAGUGGCGCACGGGUGAGUAACGCGUGGAUAUCUACCCUUAAGAUGGGGAUAACGGCUGGAAACGGUCGCUAAUACCGAAUACGUUUUAUCUGAAAGAUGGCCUUCUUGAAGCUAUCGCUUAAGGAUGAGUCCGCGUCCCAUUAGCUAGUUGGCGGGUAACGGCCCACCAAGGCAACGAUGGGUAGCCGGUCUGAGAGGAUGACCGGCCACACUGGAACUGGAACACGGUCCAGACUCCUACGGGAGGCAGCAGUGGGGAAUAUUGCGCAAUGGGCGAAAGCCUGACGCAGCGACGCCGCGUGAGGGAUGAAGGUUCUCGGAUCGUAAACCUCUGUCAGGGGGGAAGAACCCCCUCGUGUGAAUAAUGCGAGGGCUGACGGUACCCCCAAAGGAAGCACCGGCUAACUCCGUGCCAGCAGCCGCGGUAAUACGGAGGGUGCAAGCGUUAAUCGGAAUCACUGGGCGUAAAGCGCACGUAGGCGGCUUGGUAAGUCAGGGGUGAAAUCCCACAGCCCAACUGUGGAACUGCCUUUGAUACUGCCAGGCUUGGGUACCGGAGAGGGUGGCGGAAUUCCAGGUGUAGGAGUGAAAUCCGUAGAUAUCUGGAGGAACACCGGUGGCGAAGGCGGCCACCUGGACGGUAACUGACGCUGAGGUGCGAAAGCGUGAGUAGCAAACAGGAUUAGAUACCCUGGUAGUCCACGCUGUAAACGAUGGGUGCUGGGUGCUGGG